rnacentral:rRNA from 1 species
UACGGGGGGAGCAAGCGUUGUUCGGAUUUACUGGGCGUAAAGGGCGCGUAGGCGGUCGUGACAAGUCACUUGUGAAAUCUCCGGGCUUAACCCGGAGCGGUCAAGUGAUACUGUCGGACUAGAGUACAGAAGGGGCAACUGGAAUUCUCGGUGUAGCGGUGAAAUGCGUAGAUAUCGGGAGGAACACCUGUGGCGAAGGCGGCCCCCUGGUUGGAUACUGACGCUGCUACGCGAAAGCGUGGGGAGCAAACAGG